rnacentral:rRNA from 1 species
AGAGUUUGAUCCUGGCUCAGAACGAACGCUGGCGGCGUGCUUAACACAUGCAAGUCGAACGGGAUCCAGAGCUUGCUCUGGUGAGAGUGGCGCACGGGUGAGUAACGCGUGGAUAACCUGCCCUGGUAUCCGGAAUAACAUCUCGAAAGGGGUGCUAAUACCGGAUAAGCCUACGGAGCCCUCGGUCUCUGCAGGAAAAGGUGGCCUCUAUUUAUAAGCUACCGUAUCAGGAUGGGUCCGCGUACCAUUAGCUAGUUGGUGGGGUAAUGGCCUACCAAGGCGACGAUGGUUAGCUGGUCUGAGGGGAUGAUCAGCCACACUGGAACUGAGACACGGUCCAGACUCCUACGGGAGGCAGCAGGGGGGAAUUUUGCGCAAUGGGGGAAACCCUGACGCAGCAACGCCGCGUGAGUGAUGAAGGCUUUCGGGUCGUAAAGCUCUGUCAGAGGGGAAGAAAUGAGAUUGGCUAAUAUCCAAUUUUCUUGACGGUACCCUCAAAGGAAGCACCGGCUAACUCCGUGCCAGCAGCCGCGGUAA